UACAGAGGGUGCGAGCGUUAAUCGGAAUUACUGGGCGUAAAGCGCACGUAGGUGGCGACGUAAGUCGGGUGUGAAAGCCCCGGGCUCAACCUGGGAAUUGCAUUCGAGACUGCAUUGCUGGAGUACGGAAGAGGAAGGCGGAAUUCCCGGUGUAGCGGUGAAAUGCGUAGAUAUCGGGAGGAACAUCAGUGGCGAAGGCGGCCUUCUGGUCCAGUACUGACACUCAAGUGCGAAAGCGUGGGGGGCAAACAGG
rnacentral:rRNA from 1 species